UACGUAGGGGGCAAGCGUUGUCCGGAUUUAUUGGGCGUAAAGAGCGUGUAGGCGGCUUUGCAAGUCCGUUGUGAAAACUCGAGGCUCAACCUCGAGACGCCGGUGGAAACUGCAAAGCUAGAGUCCGGAAGAGGAGAGUGGAAUUCCCAGUGUAGAGGUGAAAUUCGUAGAUAUUGGGAAGAACACCAGUGGCGAAAGCGGCUCUCUGGAACGGUACUGACGCUGAGACGCGAAAGCGUGGGGAGCGAACAGG
rnacentral:rRNA from 1 species